GUAAGCGCGCGCAGGCGGUUUCUUAAGUCUGAUGUGAAAGCCCACGGCUCAACCGUGGAGGGUCAUUGGAAACUGGGGAACUUGAGUGCAGAAGAGAAAAGCGGAAUUCCACGUGUAGCGGUGAAAUGCGUAGAGAUGUGGAGGAACACCAGUGGCGAAGGCGGCUUUUUGGUCUGUAACUGACGCUGAGGCGCGAAAGCGUGGGGAGCAAACAGGAUUAGAUACCCUGGUAGUCCACGCCGUAAACGAUGAGUGCUAAGUGUUAGAGGGUUUCCGCCCUUUAGUGCUGCAGCUAACGCAUUAAGCACUCCGCCUGGGGAGUACGGUCGCAAGACUGAAACUCAGAGGAAUUGACGGGGGCCCGCACAAGCGGUGGAGCAUGUG
rnacentral:rRNA from 2 species